UGGGGAAUCUUGGACAAUGGGCGAAAGCCUGAUCCAGCAAUGCCGCGUGAGUGAUGAAGGCCUUAGGGUUGUAAAGCUCUUUUACCAGGGAUGAUAAUGACAGUACCUGGAGAAUAAGCUCCGGCUAACUCCGUGCCAGCAGCCGCGGUAAUACGGAGGGAGCUAGCGUUGUUCGGAAUUACUGGGCGUAAAGCGCACGUAGGCGGUUAUUCAAGUCAGAGGUGAAAGCCCGGGGCUCAACCCCGGAACGGCCUUUGAAACUAGAUAGCUAGAAUCUUGGAGAGGUCAGUGGAAUUCCGAGUGUAGAGGUGAAAUUCGUAGAUAUUCGGAAGAACACCAGUGGCGAAGGCGACUGACUGGACAAGUAUUGACGCUGAGGUACGAAAGCGUGGGGAGCAAACAGGAUUAGAUACCCACGUAGUCCCUGAGCGGGCUGGCAAGGCGCAU
rnacentral:rRNA from 1 species